rnacentral:rRNA from 1 species
UACGGAGGAUGCAAGCGUUAUCCGGAUUUAUUGGGUUUACAGGGUGCGUAGGCGGGACAGUAAGUCAGUGGUGAAGGUCUGCGGCUUAACCGUAGAAUUGCCAUUGAUACUGCUAUUCUUGAAUGUAGUUGAGGUAGGCGGAAUGUGUAAUGUAGCGGUGAAAUGCUUAGAUAUUACACAGAACACCGAUUGCGUAGGCAGCUUACUAAGCUAUUAUUGACGCUGAGGCACGAAAGCGUGGGGAUCGAACAGG